UAGAAAGUGUACAGAUGGACCAAAGG
rnacentral:piRNA from 1 species